GACAGAGGAGGCAAGCGUUAUCCGGAAUGAUUGGGCGUAAAGCGUCCGCAGGUGGAUUGUCAAGUCUGCUGUUAAAGCGCGAAGCUCAACUUCGUAAAGGCAGUGGAAACUGUGAGUCUAGAGUACGUUCGGGGGAGAGGGAAUUCCCGGUGUAGCGGUGAAAUGCGUAGAGAUUGGGAAGAACACCAGUGGCGAAAGCGCCCUGCUAGGCCUGUACUGACACUGAGGGACGAAAGCUAGGGGAGCGAAUGGG
rnacentral:rRNA from 1 species